rnacentral:rRNA from 1 species
GAUGAACGCUGGCGGCGUGCUUAACACAUGCAAGUCGAACGAAGCAUUUGCGACAGAUUUUUUCGGAAUGAAGUUGCUUAUGACUGAGUGGCGGACGGGUGAGUAACGCGUGGGUAACCUGCCUUGUACUGGGGGAUAGCAGCUGGAAACGGCUGGUAAUACCGCAUAAGCGCACAAUGUUGCAUGACAUGGUGUGAAAAACUCCGGUGGUAUAAGAUGGACCCGCGUCUGAUUAGCUAGUUGGUGAGAUAACAGCCCACCAAGGCGACGAUCAGUAGCCGACCUGAGAGGGUGACCGGCCACAUUGGGACUGAGACACGGCCCAGAAUCCUACGGGAGGCAGCAGUGGGGAAUAUUGCACAAUGGAGGAAACUCUGAUGCAGCGACGCCGCGUGAGUGAAGAAGUAAUUCGUUAUGUAAAGCUCUAUCAGCAGGGAAGAUAGUGACGGUACCUGACUAAGAAGCUCCGGCUAAAUACGUG